rfam:Loxodonta africana cont3.43694, whole genome shotgun sequence.
AGGCCACGGCUCCAGGGACCAGUGCGCACGCCGGGGCUGCGCUCCGGGUGUCACCCCGAGGCCGCGGACAACUGAAUAAACACGCUGCAGCGCUGCGAUCUGUCAAGGGCUGGGGCCGCCU